GAUGAACGCUGACAGAAUGCUUAACACAUGCAAGUCUUUGGCGAAGCUGUGCUUGCACAGCCUAGCCAAGGCGGACGGGUGAGUAACGCGUAAGGGACUUGCCCUGCAGUCAGGGAUAACAGACGGAAACGACUGAUAAGACCUGGUAAAGUCAGGCGGACUCAUGUCCAGCCUGAUGAAAAGGAAUGCUGCAGGAGAGCCUUGCGUCCUAUUAGCUUGUUGGUGGGGUAACGGCCCACCAAGGCGAUGAUAGGUAGCCGGCCUGAGAGGGUGGACGGCCACAAGGGGACUGAGAUACGGCCCUUACUCCUACGGGAGGCAGCAGUGGGGAAUAUUGGACAAUGGGGGCAACCCUGAUCCAGCAAUUCUGUGUGCACGAUGAAGGUCUUCGGAUUGUAAAGUGCUUUCAGCAGGGAAGAAAAAA
rnacentral:rRNA from 1 species